AGUGACUCUCUUCAGAGGUCAAAAGCCCUCCGACCCUACAGUGCAUGCAUACAGACACAUGCGAUGUGCAGAGAAACGCAAAACUACAAAACCCCAGGAAGACAAAAAGAGAAGUCUGUGUGGACUCAAUGUGGUUUAAUGCUAAAAAAGCAAACCCGCCAAAACAUGUGGUCACUGAUCGCACUAACGCGCUUUGGUGUAAAUCAUCUCGGCACAUCAGCAGCAGCUUCCAGAGCGACAGGACAGAUAUCAGAACCUUAAACUUUAAAAGAACAAAAAAAACAAACUGGUUUUACUUUUGCUUCAGGAUCCUCAAAACCCCCAGAAUUCAGUGAGAACUCAGCUAUGAGUUCAAUCGUCUGUUUUAACACAUUGUCACAGUGAGUCACAGGUCCCCAUAAAUAAUUAGAGUUAAUACGAUGCCACUUAAACUUGACACCUUUUGAUGUCAGUCAGCUCUUCACAGCCUCCUCAGGAGAGAAAGGCUCCCCUCCUCAGAGAGAGGAGGGGAGAAAGAGGAAUGCAAAGCAGAGAGUGCAGCCGCUUUGUGAUCGGCUGAUUCUCCCCCGUGACACAGCAGCCGGGGAGGAGGCGACUCCGGCUCCAUGGAAUCCCUGUUAACCCAACUCGAGGUGUGGACCAUCAUGUUCUCCAUCCUGGUUUUUGCGCUCUUCACACUCGCUGGGAUGAUCAGCGAGGACUGUCCGCAAACUGAAGAAACUACUGAGAGAACCCAGAGCCAGGAGCUGUUGGUGUGACUCAGCUGUUAAUGCUCAGCUUGUGAGAAAAGCUCAGUUUGUUCCUGUCCCAGAGUAACCUGCUUCCAGGAUGAGGCACAAAGGAGUGGCCAAAUUGUUCAACUAAAAAAAGCAAGAAAGAGACACCUGCUCCAACAAAGUUGCUCACGACAGCAUCGCCUGGCCGUUCGUCCUGUAGGAUGUCCAGAGACAGCACCGGGAGAUUCCUCUGUGAACUUUGAACCUGGAGAACAGCCUGUGUCUCUCCAAUCGGCAGCUGUGUAGAUGGAAGUGCCAUUCUCUGGCUUUGAGCUCACCUUCAUCAUCUUAGCCUUCGUCAUCUUCUCCCUGUUCAGUCUGGCUUCGGUCUGCAUCCAGAAAGAGGAAGGUCCAACAGAAGAUGCUGCAUAUGAAAACAAGAAGUUAAAACAACUAGUAAAGAAGAAGCAGAGAGAAAUCACCAAACAGGCUGGACAGAAGGCUUAAAGAUGGGAUCAGCUGGAGCUGAACUGGGACUGGAGAUCAACUUCCUGCUUCUCUGUGUUUUAUGUAGAAGUUAGCAAUUUGUCUUUGCCCAAUGAACUAUAAACUCCCCUCACUAAAGGACUAAAUAGACUUUUUUGAGAUUUAGGUCAUAUUAUUUUCUAAUCAAAAACAUACCUGGAGUGUUGCCUUGAUUCGCUCAUGGAUGUUUAAGAAAUCCUUUAAUCUCCCGUGGCAACCAUUGAGCUGGGCAAAACGUCUGUGUGGACCAAGCAAUGCCUCAUGGGAGUUGCAGUUUCUAAGUUUCUGCCUCACCCACUCAGCUCCUUCAGACUAGUGGCCCAAUGGACAAUGCAAGGCUAAAGGAACAUAAAUGACAGCAACACAGAAGAACAGUUCUUUGUGGAGCCUAAUUAAAGUGAACAACAACCAAUAAAGAGAGCAGGUGGGAAAAAACGGAAAUGUAUUAAUUUUGAGAAGGCAAAAAUAUACCCAAAAUUAUAUGUAGUUCAAUUUAUCAGCAAUGGAGGGAAUAGCAGUUCAAAGCAUUUGUCAAUGAAAAUUCAAAACUAUAAAAUAAAUCUUCGGAGUACUUACUACGCAAUUAAGAAAAUAAAAAAAAUUAUAAAUUUUCCAAGCAGCUGUUAUGUAAUUCAAAAAUUCUAAAUUAUAAAUGUUUGACAGUUUCGAACAGUCUCAAAUUUCACUUCAAAAAGUCUGUUCACGACUUUGUUUCAGAAUUAUUUGUGGUUUUAUUUGUUUUCAGCAUUCCUGUUGGUUCCCUGUACUUUUGAAAGUUCAGAUGUGUUUUCCCAGGACAAAAGGGAAUAAAGAAGAACAGCGUGGUAUUGGUUCAGUUA